rnacentral:rRNA from 1 species
GACGAACGCUGGCGGCGUGCUUAACACAUGCAAGUCGAACGGAAAGGCCCUGCGUUUGUGGGGUGCUCGAGUGGCGAACGGGUGAGUAACACGUGAGUAACCUGCCCUUGACUUUGGGAUAACUUCAGGAAACUGGGGCUAAUACCGGAUAGGAGCUCCUGCUGCAUGGGGGGGGUUGGAAAGUUUCGGCGGUUGGGGAUGGACUCGCGGCUUAUCAGCUGGUUGGUGGGGUAGUGGCUUACCAAGGCUUUGACGGGUAGCCGGCCUGGGAGGGUGACCGGCCACAUUGGGACUGAGAUACGGCCCAGACUCCUACGGGAGGCAGCAGUGGGGAAUAUUGCACAAUGGGCGGAAGCCUGAUGCAGCAACGCCGCGUGCGGGAUGACGGCCUUCGGGUUGUAAACCGCUUUCGCCUGUGACGAAGCGUGAGUGACGGUAAUGGGUAAAGAAGCACCGGCUAACUACGUG